rnacentral:tRNA from 1 species
UCCCUGGCAGUCCAGUGGUUAGGAUUCUGUGUUUUCACCCCUGAGGGUCUGGGUUCAAUUCCUAGUCGGGGAC